GCCGCUAUCACGUGACGCACGCACGCACGCGCCGUUGCCGUGGUGACGGAGGAAGCCGUUGGGGCCGGGAAAUGGCCGCCCCCAGCGCCCGCGCCUUGCUGGGCCUCGGCCUCUCCCUUGCGGUGCGGCUGUGUGUGCGGGCUCACAGGCUGUGCCUCCCUCCAUUCCCUCCCUUCGUCUCCCUUCUCCUGGCCUUCAGGCAGAGCGCGCUCUGACUGCCCGAGCUCUGUCGGUUCCCCGGCCAUGCAGCGGCACGUCCCUGUGCACGCCUUGCCCGAGGCGAUUCAGAAGAUGUCUCGGGACCAGACGGUGUGCAAGUACUGUGGCGUCAGCUAUUUGAUACUGCAUGAGUUUAAGGUGAUGGAAGAAAAAAUAAAAGCAAUGGAAAAGGAGAUUAAGUUUUAUGAAGGAAGUCUAGAACGGGAAAAGGGACUUCAAGAAGAACUGCAGUCCCUUUACCAAGACCUUGAGCGCUGCCGAGCUGAUGGGAAAUCCAAAACAGAAAGGAUAACAAGCUUAACAAUGGAGUUAAAAACCAAACAAGAUGAACUGAAGAACGUGAAAGAAGAUUUGCGGUAUUUCCAGGAAGAAAAGGAAGCUGCCCAUAAGCAAUCCCAGGUGCUCAGAAGUACACUGGAACACCAUUGCUCAACUCUGAGCAGGGCUGUCUCUCUGUUUCCUUUCAUCAGAAGAGAACUAGAAAGUAUUAAGGAAGUUGUGUCCAGUAACCUGGAGAGCUGGGCUGCCCUGAAAGAAGAAAUUUUUCAACAAAUAAGAACUGUUAGCAAAGAAGCUUUGACAGAAAUACCCAAACUGAAUCAAAAGUUAGCAAAAUCCCAGAGGGAGAAUGAGUGCCUUCAGGAAAAGGUAAAACAUCUGACUCUGGUGGCUGAUACGGUCGAGCUGAAAACUCAACAGCUUCAAACUUCUCUUCAGCAAGGGAGUGAGCUACAAAGCAGAUGCCGUGAGCUACAAAAGGAAACAUUAGAUUUAACUAAUCAAGUCGAGACCACUGAGCACAAGCUGCAGAAGGUAACAGCUGAGAUGGAUCACUACAAAAAGCUGCUAAUGGUGAAAUCAGCAGAACUUGAUGUGUGUCAAAAUGAAAUGAAAAAAAUGAAACAUGAAAAUGGAAUUUCUGAGUCAAGACUUGCAAAAGAGCUCAAGGAAAAGGAAGAAUCUCUACUGAUUUGCCAACAAGUAUGCAAACGUUUGCAGGAAGAAGUGGCUGAGAAGGAGAGGAAAGAAGGAGAUCUGAGAAGAAGAACCAGUCAAUCCGAAAGUGAACUGGAAACACUUAAAGCUCUUCUCACACAAACAGAGGAAGAGGUGGUGAUGUUGAAGCAAGAAAGGGAGUUAAUGCUGAUUUCUCAUCAGAACAGAACAGAACAGCUGCAGGAAACAUUAAGGCAGAAGAUGCGGAAUGAAGAUAACUGGAGGGAGAAGGUGGAGAUGGAUCUGGCCAAAGGUGAAGCACGGCACAAAGAAGCAAUUCUCAAAGUCAGAGAAGAAGCCAGAGUGGAACUGGACUCUGAAAGACAAAAGCAGCAAGAACUAAUCACAAAAUACCAGAGAGAUCAGGAAGAGCUCCAGAAGAAGAUACCUGAAUUGAUAUCCAGUGCCACCAACAGCUUACGGAUGGAGGCAGAAAUUCUUGAAAAGAAGCUACAAGAUGUCCAGAUUGAACUUGCAGAGAAAGAUCAAGAGAAAGAAAAAGAAAUUCAGAGCCUUAAAAGGCUGGUCACUGAACUUGAAUUUCAGCUGAAGGUGGAACAGAACAAUAACGAAUCAUUACUGGGUAAUCUGAGGAAAGAAAUUAAACACAAGUCAGAUGAACUGGAAGAAUUAACCCAGGAGAGGACGCAGCUGAUUCACAGUUUGAGUCAAGUGCAAGAGGAGAACACUCUUCUCCAGGAAACGGUGCGCAGAGAGUGCGAGGAACGCUAUGAGCUGACUGCAGCUUUGACUCAAGCCAGGGAACAAGUGCUGCAACUCAGAAAGCUCAGUGGAAACUUGCCGUUAUCGCCGCGUUCCCUGGCUCGGGGCAGCCUAACCUCCUCCCCUGCCCUGCGUGCUGAUUACGGGCGCAGCAGCCGCCCCGGCCCAGGGGGGGCCGUCCAUCCCUCCGGGCAGGUCGGUAUUCCCCGAGCUGUGCAGGCACCCGCGGGCAGGCCCAGCAGCGGGACUUUGCCAGCUCUCAGAGGCCGGGAGACUGCGGCCAGGAGAAGGCAGCGGAGCCAACUGUGACACGUGGGGGAGCCCUGCGGUGUGAGCCGUGGGCCCUGGGCCUCAGGUGUUGGUGAUGAACUUGGUGCGAUUCUACAGCUGAGAAUGAAGUUACGUCCCGAGAUGUUUUUGAUGCAAUAAUGUUUAUUUGUCCGUUGCGCAUCAGUGUAAUUAAAUGCUAUCUACGUUCCGAGAUGGGAAAAGAAUGAAAAAAUAAUUGCCUCUCAAAAAGGUGCACGUAUUCAAGAAGUGUAAUUAAAAUAAUUACCAACUUCAAAGGCUGUUCUCCCUAAAGCACUCUGUUGGAAUUUUCCCAUUUUGUAUGUUGUGCUGUCCCUUGUAACUUCACUGUGUGUUUGUGGUGUAAAAAUGCAAUUUGUUUGGUUAGAACCAGAUUUAUGCCAUCGUUUCAUGGAGCAGCGUGCAGCCAUUGCUGGGCAGCCUCCCCCAGACACUGCAGCCAUCUUCCCAACAGUGCCAGCACGGACCUGAGCUCCCCAGCUGGGGAGAAGUUGGAAGAGAGCAUCCUGGGGAUUGUCAGAGCAGCAAGAGCACUGAGGCUGCCUGCUCCUAGUUGGGUUUUAGGACUGGGCUCUUUCUGCAUUUGGAAACGUGGAGUUGCUGGUUUGCAGGAUGCUUGUAAGCACAACUACGUUUGUACUUGCACCAUGAACCUUGACUAUAUCAUUUCUGAGUGGUGAGAUGGCCCUGUGUGUGCCAAAGUGACCACGUGUCACUGUGGUGCUGGAGUAAGUUAGAAUUGCUUUGCUGAAUGCAGUGGCAUAGCAGGGAAUACAUGUCACAUAAUAAAGUUAGUGGCAGAAGCAACCAUUGCAGAUUUGGCAUCCUGGGCUCGAUUUUGAGGUGCACUUUGUCUUACUCAGCUUCUGUUCCCACCGAACCUUUACUGAUCCUUUCCAUUACUGAACCUUAACCUCAGUGGUAGCAGAGUGCAUCCAAAAGCUCAGAAAUCCCCUACUCUCAAAUUCAGAAAGCAGCAGGAAUUCAGUGGCAACAAUCAAUCGUAGGCACAGCGGAGAUACCUGGAAGCAAAGUCACAGGUGAGUGGCUUUGGUCACUACUUUGUGUUUUGUUUUGUUUUGUUUUGUUUCUUAAAGGUGUUUAAAAACAAUGGCAGCCUGAAAGAUGUGGGAGUAAUUCCACUGAAACACAGCUGCAUGAAAUCCGUUUUUCAGCCAUUCCACAGAGGCACAAAGAAAGAUUGGGUGUUCCCUUCUGAGCUUGCUGAGAAUGAUUAAUUUUAUUGUUGUUGCUUAGGAGAAAUCCUGACUUCUUUGAGCCUGAAAACUGUUCCUCUGUUACCACCUGCAGCCUUCCUGUGCUGAAGGAGCAGACCUUCGUUGAGGCAGCUCUUAAAACGGUGAGUUCCAGAGCACUGGUGUGUUGAUCUUGAAUAAAACUCUGAGAUGAACUUCAAUUUUAUUUUACUGGCUUAGAGAACAUUUAAAUUAUGCAGUACAUUAAUUUUUAUUUUACUUGCUCAGACCACUGUGGAACAGACAUGAGGGUGAACGCUUGUGACAGUUGAUAUAAUAGAGAGUUUAAUGCUGGGUUUUUUGUACUGAAGAAGUGAGAUGCAUGCAGUAAUGCCUCUGUGCUUAAAGCAGAGAGCAGAGCUGGGCUGGCAGCCUCCCUGGCUCUGUUCCUGUGCACAGAAUGCCCAGCUCUGCAUGGUGCUGGCCCAUCUUGUCCAGUGCUGCAGGGCUGAGAGCUGGGCUCCUGGCUGCUGGUUGUGUCCUGCAACACCUCCCUAAGGAAGGCUUCACGUUCAUAAAUCCUGGGAAAGGAGUAGCAUGUGGAAUAAAGAGAGCAGUCACAGAAAUAAUGUUUGUAGCAUGAGUGGAAGCAUAAAUCAUGAACCCCCACUGAGUCAGGAGCCAAGACUUCCCUCAUUCCCAUAGCUUGCAGAAACCCAGAGCUCAGGCUGCUAAGCAAUAACCAAAGCGGAUUAAUAUCAGGAAACCUUGUUCACCAGCUUUUGCAAAGUAACCUCACGAAGUCAAGGAAAGUUUACAAAGCAUUUCUCGCAGUGGGGUGAAGCAGAGCAGCAGAGUGCCAUGGAGAAGGCAGGCAGCUAAUUCCCUCCCCACAUUUCAGGAAGUGCAGCUUCCUGGAGGCAGUGCGUUUUGUAGGAGCCGUGUCAUUUAUGAAUGGGUUUUUCUUACGCUGGACCUUGCACUCCAGGACUCACGGCACCAGGGAAUACUGCAAACCGCCAAGUUGGAACAAAUCGGCCUCUGUGGCUCCUGAGCUGCCUGCAGGAAGCAGCCAUCCUCUCACUGCUCAAGGUUGCAGGAAAGUGGCCUGUGGCUGUUUGACUCGUGCAAAGGCUGCUCCGUUGUUCCUUGGCAGAGCUGAUGUUGUUGCCUGGUUGGGAGUGGAAUCCUGAAUCUGUCCUUACAGCACUGACUGAGUUAGUAGCUGCUGUGCUGCAUAGCAGGAUAGGAGGCCAGGGUGUGCAGCAGGGUUGGGAGCAGAGCUCAGAGCAACGCCUGGCAGUGCAGCCCAGGGCUGGCAAGUGGGGUGGUUCUGCAAAGGAAGAAAGCAGACUUAGGAAAAGAUCAUUGUGGUGUUGUAGCAGCCUUGAAAGUGUGUGGAAAUAGCUGGACCCAGUGCCAUAGGUCAGCAAAAUGUAUUCAUCAGAAGGAAAUGCAUUUGCUUGAAGAAGUGGUUGUGCUGUGCGAUGUUCUUCACUUCAAAUUCUUGUUUGGGCUCCUGGUGUUUUAUAGUUCCCUUCACAGCCUGCAGCGUGCUGCAGAAAGCACUGCCUGCCAUUAAUGCAAAAGAAAAAGUGUAAGAAUGGAAUCAGGGAAAUCUCCUGUCUCAAGCAAAAGCUGCGUGUCUUUAUUUUCAGUUGUUUAAAAACAUAUUUGCAGCAUGAAAAGCUGAUAUGAGGUUGUGUCUUUAAUUGCUGUUGUUAUUUGAGUUUAUUCUGCUAAUGAAAGGAUAAACCAUAUGCAAGUGCAGUGCUGUGAAGUAAUGGAAUCAAACAUGCUUAGCACUUAUGUGGCUUUUUUCAUCCUCAAAGCAUAGUACAAAAUUAAUUUUGAUAGGAUAAUAAAAAGGAUGCUGUAAAAGAUUAAUGCUGAAGAGGUUUUAACACCGGAAAUACAAUUUGUGUGAUGGAAAACAUGGGCAUCUGGCAUUGCACUGUGAACUGUUCCCAGAUAAUGAAAAGAAACCGCUUCCGAGCAAGUGUGGCCAGAUCCAGCAGGGUGUUUUUGCUCCUCUCUAUCUCAAGAGACACCUCCUAUCUUCUGACAGGAGCGAGCCACAAAUCUUCCCAAGCUGCAGUUUUCCAUCUGGAACCUUGAAUUGCUGCUGAGUUAAGGUCAGUGCUGGGAUGUGGCUGUGCUGCUUGCCAGUAAGCCAAGGGACGAUGGCUGGGGAGCCUGCAGAAGUAACACUUAUUUCUGUAACGUGUGGCUGGAUCUCACUGCAGCCAUUCAGCUAAACCCAGUCCAAUUCCAUCAGUUCUUCUGGCAAAAGCAAGAAUGUGUGGUUAGAAGUUAACUUACAAUACACAGAUCAUACCAGCUGGCUGUGAUUUGCCUUACACUAACAGUCCUACAGUCCUUCACAAUGUGCUUCACGUGGAAAAGUGAGGAAAAUACCAAUUAGAGGUGCCUGGCAGAGAGGAGCUUGGGGUGAGCAGCGUGCUGCAGUGCAGUGAGCAAUGCAGGCUGUGAUGGGUGCACAUCGUGCUGGGAAAAUGAUGCCAUUGUCAGAUCAUAGGUUGUGUUGCAUGCACUGUGUAUUUGUUCUUUGCCUUCGUACUGAAGGCCUUCACUGUACCUCCCUCUGUGUGUGGCAGGCUUUGUGCUGUUGCCUUGUCACACCACGUGCUUUGCUCCUUGCACUGCAGGCCAAGUAAGUGACAGGUUGAAAUUCAGCCCUGAUCUAUGUGCAGGGCAGCUUUCAAACAGGGCAAAUGCUGAGCAACAAAAUUUGUUCAUCUGGUCCCUGUGCAGCAUUUGGUCUGCUUGUGAAAUAGCAGGGAUCGUGAACAUGACAUGCUGAUCAGAUGUCUGCUCUGUGUUCUCUGCCAUGCACUCAGUAGAAUUCAGAACCAAAUGGAUGUGUUGAUGCAGGAGGUUCUGGGUAUGAAGGCACGAGGAAGUAGCACCAGCUCAGGUCUGAGCACUCACUCCAAGCUGCAGCACAGCCUCAGGUGAGCUGUCACCUUUUGGGAGCAGUGCCAGGUCGUAGCGUGGAGGCUCUUCUUUGCUCCUGUGCUGCACUUGUGCUUUGAACAUGGUGUUGAGCCCUGCCAACUGCUUUGGAAGAGGUGUAGAUUUCAGUAUCUCCCCAGAAUCCAGUAAUUUCUGAAUGUCAGGAACUUAAACGAUGACACAGAUCCAUUUUAGCCUGUAAAACCUGUCGUUGCUGGUUCCUCAAUCCCAUAAAUGUACAGGAACUGGUUCCUUUAGAGGAACCUGUUAUUUCCAAACAUUCAUUGCGUUUGAAAUUUCCUGUUUGCACACUACUGAAUGCUAAUUUGUUAGGGUUGCUUUUAUUCCAGUUCUGACAGAGAUUCGGAUUGGCAGCAGUGACAGUUUGGAAUCCAGGCGGCGCGCCGAGCAGAAGGCACAGCUGCAUGCAGCAGACUCAGAGCAUUUCACUUUCCAUUUCUUGCUGGCUGCAGGGUGUGGUGGGCUGUGUGCUGCUGCUCAGCAUUCAGAGGAGCUCACAACGGGAGCAUCAGUGCCUGACUACAGUGGAUGCAAAGAAACCAUCUGCGAUCUGAGGCGUGUGGAAGGUCUGUAAUGCUGCAGACAACCUCUGAACAAAGUACAAAAGGAGACAGUGAAGCAUGUCGGUCACAAGAUGGGGCAGGGGUGCACUUUUAAGGGGUUUCUUCAGGUCGAUUGUGGAAGCAGCUUGCUCUCAGCACAGCUACAACCAUGGACAACUUGAGAGCCACUGCCUUUUGCUGAAAUGGCAUGAGAGGGAGCUGGAGCUGUCUCUGCUUUAGAAUCACAGAAUCAUUAAGGUUGGAAAAGACCUCAGAGAUCCCCAGCCCACCAUGCACAGGGCCCACAUCUCUCUGUGCCAUAUCCUCACAGUUUGGACCCCACUGCUCCCUGAGCAGCUGUACCAGUGUCUGACCACUCUUUCAGAGAAGAAAUUUUUCCUGAUUUCCAACGUGAAGCUCCCUUGGCACAACUUGUAGCCGUUGCCUCUUGUCCCAUGUGGUUUUCUAGUUUUUUGGCUUACUGCAGUCUUUGUGCUGUUUGGUGACUUUGGACAAUAUUCUUAGCAGCUGUUUCAAUCUGAGUGCCAUCAGGUGACUGGUACCUUCAGCAUAGAUUUCACAUGCAAAAUGAUAUUUCUCAAAGCCUCUCUGUGAAAGCCAGGGUGCCUGUCCUGUCCCUGUUGUGCAUCCUGCCAAACCUUGUGCACUGAAACUGUGGGCUGGCUCUCAGUUCCACAUUUCUGCAUACAGAUGGCUCAAUAUGCCCUUCUGCUUGAAGCUGGCUGAGGACACCUGGGCAGAUGAGAGCAAGAGGAGCACGGAGCAUGCUGGCCCUUUUCCACAUUGGAGCAGUUAUUUAUGGUAAAUCUGGGAGAUGUGGCUUUUUUAUGGCAAAGGUAAGAGUAGAAAAUGUGUUCAAAGCCAAGGUCCACACUUCCUGUCCCUUGCCCUAUCCCCUCCUGCUGCUUCCUCAGAUGCAGCUUUCCUAGCAGCUCACUCCACCCCCAUCAUUUCAGGGCCAAAGUGGAGGCUUUGGGCUGGAGGAAGCAUGGAGACCCAAAUCCGAAAUUGGGUGGCCCCUCUCUCAGCAGCAUGGCGUUGUCCUAUGGGAUGGGAUGUUGAUGGGAUGGCUCAGUUUUGGUGGGGGUCGAGCACUUGUGGUCAGCAGCAGCCGCAGCCACUUCUGCUGUAGUUUUCACUCACUGAAGGAGUAAACAGCAGAGAAAGUGUGGAAUAGUGUGGGGUGGUCCUGGCUGGGAGUCAUGGGGUGAUGACAUUUAGCAGAGGAAAGUUUCAGCACAGCGCAAAGGAAAAUGUCCUGAGGCUGUGCUGGCCCUCAGGGGGAUGGGAGCCCCAUGGCCUGAGUCACCGGGGUGGGCAGGAAAGAGCCAUGGAAAAUGGGCAGUCAGGAGCAGCCCUGCUGGCAGCAGCCUGUGACCUACAUGGGAUUUUCCGACUCCCAGUUUAUGUGAAGUGGAAAGUGAUUUAUUUUGCUUCACUUUGCUUUCCUCUAAUGAGUAGUACCUAGAGGGGAGGGAGGUGCAGAGCUUGGGGUAAGGAGCAGGAGCAGCACUUCCCCAUUGCUGCUGGUUUGGGCUGGGGGUCGCAUCUCUGUGCUGCCCACCUGUCCCUGCAGUGGCACUGCUUGCAUAUCCCUGGGAAACGAGACAACCCAAGUGGGGCAGGGGUGCCUCUCCUACCUCAAGAGUUGCUGCUUUCUCUCCAUACCCAGGUCAGCUGAGAGGCACUGAGUUGGCGGCUUGAUGUGGGGAUGGAGAUACCCCCAGAAGGGUGCUUGGAAAGUCCUGCAAAUCCACCAGAACUGCACGUGAUGAAGGAUAACGAUGCACAAAGUGCUGAGGAGGGCGGGCUGCCUUCACAGGAAUCCGAAACUGAUGCUGCUUUCUGAGCACUGCCUGUUGUGAAUCACUGGCUUUGAUGGGAAUCCAUUUAGGCAUCCAUUUCUGCAGCUGUUUCCUGUGUAUGUGGAGCAUUGUGUGAGCUGUAGGAGUGUUUCAAGUUACCAGGACAGGGUGGUCACUUUAAUCAUCGUGAAGAUCUGAACAAAGAACCACAUGUGCAUUUUGGGAAGAGUACCUCAAAAAAGGAACACCAGCAACCCCCAGAAGUGUGCAGAAAGAGAUUCCUGCUAAAAAUAGCAGCAGCACCUCCUCGCAGGGUUACUGAGGCAGCUGCUGGAGCUCAGAGGGGACUGUAAUUCAUAUGCUAAAGCAACACAGGGAUGGCUGGGCUUUGUAAUUCCUGUGCUAUAAAGCGAAAGAAGCAAAAGUUGCAUCUGAAGAGCCCACAGAAAUUAAAGAGGGUGAGGAUAUUCCACUCCUGCCGUGCUCCUCGUGGAAGGAAGCACCACUGUACCAGGGGAUGGCCCUGAGGAUUCUGUUGGCACACACAGCACACCUAGCAGGUGCUGUGGAAUUACUUGCAACCCUUCCCUUGCUCCAUCACACUAGCAGCUGCUGCUGUUUCAUGUUGUCACACCACGUGCGUGUCACUAAAAGCAGCCCUGGCCCCACUCAUGCUGCUUUACUCCAUCCUCUUUUCAGCCUGGUUACUGUGGUGGGGAUCCAAGCUGAGCUCUGCCUCCUGGAGAGAUCUCGCUUGUGUCCUACUGCUGGGUUUUGCCAUUGAAGGAGGGAGAAAAGGUCACACACCUGGAUUUGGGUGCUCUAUUUGGAUUUGCUGUUGGCGUCCCCCUUCAUCUGCCUUCCCUGGUACCUUACCUGGGUGAGGUUUUAGAAAUAGAGCCACUGCUGGCUGUGGGGCACAGCUGGGACCUGCUCUGAAGCCCCUCAUGCAGGAUGGGUGCUCCAUUGCCAGCACUGCUGUGCUGGGCUGUGAUCUGGGCUGUGUUCAGGGCUCUGCCGUGUUGGGAGCCCAUGUGAGCGUAAAGCAACACCCAGCCCCAAGCUGUGUUGUGUCAGCUCAUGUAACCUGACAGAUCUCCUCAAAUAAGAACCAUAUGGUAGAGAUAACAUCUUUCUUGCUUGCGGUUUCCUUGAUGGCAAACUACUGUGCUAUAACCCCCGAGUGUCCAGUUCAGUUAUAAACUCACCACAGAUGGAAACUGGAAAUAGAAUGGAGAGCUGGUUUGGGUCUGGCAGGGGCUGGGAGGGAUGCAGUGGCACGCAGGCUGUUGCACUCUCUGGAUGCAGCAGCAUGACCUGCCUGGGCUUGGAACUGAUGUUUUGACCAGCAGUCCUUCUUUAAAUCAUUCUCCCCACCCUGCCUACCCGAAGCUGUUUUUGGCUAUGGAGCUGUGCCCUAUGCCCUCCUCGAACUCAGGUGGAAGCACGAGGUGCCAUUCCCCUUGGGAAGUGGCAGCCUUUCCAGCAUGCAGGAGCCACGUGCUAGAAGGGGCAGCUGAGAGCUUGGAGCAGCCCCAGGCUGCUUCUGCAACCCCGGGGCAGCAUCUGAUCCUGUGGGGCUUAAAGUGACCCCCAGCUACUGCCUGCUGCUCAGAGCAGCCUCAGGUUGGGCAGCACUGUGCCUUGUGGCAGCGCCCUGCAUGCACGGAGUGCUGCAUGAGUGUAUGCAUGCACAGGCUGCUCACGUCUGCUUUGCAACACUUCCACCUACAGAAUAAAACCCAGAAUGGCAGCAGAGCAGCUGAUGGCCCUGUGAGCAGCUCAGCCUUAACAAGGAGUUUUGUUUUUUGGGACAAAAAUGGGUGCAGCCACCGGAGCCCCGCAGUGAUAAUGCGAGCCAUGGGCACGGGCUGGGAGUGCAGCAUGACCCCGUGGGAACUUCCUGAGGGAAAGCAAGUUAGAGGCAGGGCAGUGCACCUCCCUGCACUCACAGUGCCCUCACAGCAGCAGCUGCACAGAAGCACUCUGCAUUUCCCAAGGAGAGGCCCUCAAGGCAGCACCCUGUGCUCAGCCUGCGAUGCUGGCAGCUGUUUCCCUGUGCGUGAGCUCCUCCCUGCCGGCCCCAUCCCAGCACCUCCAUCUGUUGGGCCGCAGCCUUUGCCUGGUCUCCUCUUGCGCUGAAUUGCAGCCUCUGAUUGCACAGCUUUAUGCUCUUGCAGCACUUUGCUGUUGGAACAAUUUCUUGCCAGAAGCACAGCACCGUGUGCCUUCCUGCUCCCUCUGGCUGCCAUCUGCUGCCCAGCACAAAGCAAACGCGGGGCUGCUGCCGUCCAUCUGCUCAGCAAAGAGCCAACCGAGCAACCUUCCUGACUGCAGCCACUGCACCGGGGGCUGCAAUUGCUGCAAGUACCAAGGAGGCAGAGGGAGGACAGCAAUGCCUUUUGUUGUGCUUCAGCUGGAUGCUGCAGCACUGAGCCCAAGUGGGUCCUGCUCUCAUCCAUCCUGGCAAGAGAAAGCAUGG